UUGUCAGCAGCACCUAGAAGUGACCGAAUCUUUGCUCUUUUCUAGAGCCACCCGCUGUGGGGCCUCCUUUCCACGCAUAGCUGACUCCCUGCCGGUUCCAGUUUCCCUCACUGAAAGAAGCCCGUGCAUUCCCAGCAACCAAGCAACACCUCUGCAGACCACAGCCUGCGUCCUGCUGCUGCUGCCCUGCACCGGGAGGGCUGCGGCUCUCCUGCUGCACCCAGAGCCUCUGCAGUUCUCCGGAGGAAGGUUCCAGCGCCCGGUGGUGGUGGCGGCGAAGAUGCCCACUGUCGCCGCUGUCCCGCACCCCUUGACCCCCAGGUUUCAAGGUUGGAGCAGCCUCUAUUUUUGCAGCUGUUUUAUCUGAAUUGGUGCUGGGCUUCGCGGCUUUGCCACAAUGUUGAUCAGAGAGGGGCAGUGCUUCCGGCUGGGAUAUUUCACCCAAUAGCAAGGACUUUUUGCUUUUUUCGUCCUGAGAAAUGGGGUGCCAGCGGGGAGCAUGAGCUCCUUUUUUGCUGAUUGUCUGGUGAUUUUCGUACAAGAUGAAAUUUACCUCAGGGGAUGGGUAAGGCCCUUCCAGUUCAGUUUAAAAAUUGUGACCCUGUGCUUUGGUUGGGGACAAAAAUAAAAUUCUUAUUACUAUUCUAAAAGGGUGAUUG
rnacentral:lncRNA from 1 species